rnacentral:rRNA from 1 species
GUGUCAGCCGCCGCGGUAAUACAGAGACGUCAAGCGUUGUUCGGAUUCAUUGGGCGUAAAGGGUCCGUAGGCGGUCGGGUAAGUCGGAUGUGAAAUCUCGAGGCUCAACCUCGAUAGGUCAUUCGAAACUGCUCGGCUCGAGGAGUGGAGAGGAGACUGGAAUGGCUGGUGUAGCGGUGAAAUGCGUAGAGAUCAGCCAGAACACCGGUGGCGAAGGCGAGUCUCUGGACAUCUCCUGACGCUGAGGGACGAAAGCCAGGGGAGCAAACGGGAUUAGAAACCCCCGUAGUCC